AUGCUCUACAUCCUGAUAGGAGCAUAAAAUGCGACGAAUUUAUAGUUUAACCCUUUACACUUUUGCUUAGUUAUUUCGUUAAAAAGAUCAAACUAACUUUGUUAUGUUCUUAGGAGGUUUGUGGAGCAACCGUGGAGAAAUAGGAGCUCAAUUGUGGCAAGUUAAGGCUUGGGUGUAUAGUAGUGAUGCAAAAGAUGAAAGAUCACCAUUUAUACAGUCAGAAACAAGAAGGAAAGCUUGUGGAAAAAUUCGUGCAAAACAGUUGCCAAGAAGAAGAAAACAGAGUACUAGAAGCUGCCUUAUUUUCUUCUGUAUUCAGAAGGUGUUUUGAAGAACUUUCCAGUGGAAUCAUGAAUAAAAGCCUAGCAAUAUUUGAAGAUCACAUGUUCUACUGUAACUACAAGCAAAUAUCUGGUCCAGAAUGAUAAAGUAGAAGCCGGAGGCUGUGGUCAAAUUUGGUACCUCGAGAAGACUGUUUCCAUCAGCUUUUCAGGAAGCUUUUUCAAGGGCUUUUCUACUACACUUACAGCAUGAUACACAUAAAGUUUCCCACCCAGAUUUGAAGUUUAGAUGUUGUAUAGAAUUUUAAAAUCAAGAAUCAUCCAGAAAGGUGGCGGAAUGCAUAAGUUAUGAUGCUGCAAAGAUGAGCAGAGGAUAAGAAAAAUCUGGAAUUUCUGACAAGUCUUAUCUGCGAAGCAUGUUUGAGCCGUCUUUGGAGACUUUAUUGGAGCAUCCUUUGGACGAUUAUUGUUUGGACGUCAAUAAAUGAUGCUAUAGGGUAUUGUAGGCCUGAGAAAUAGACAGAAAGAUUGCUAGAAAGUCAUUCUACAAGCCCAUAAAUUUGACCAAACAAUAAGGAAAAUCUGGAAAUUUCUGACAGAUUUGACUGUGAAGACUUUUCAAGGCUGUUUUUGGGAAACAAGUUGAGGGGUUCUUUAGAAUAUUUUUGCAGACUUUUGAAGACAAAUAUCAAAGCUUGUACCUGCCUGAAAAUCACGUUCAAAUCUGAGAUGGAACCUAGUUAAGAGAGGGGCUAAAAAGGCUAUCAAAAGUUAGGCAGAUUCUUUGCAUCUCUUGGCAGAUUGUGUGUAUCUAUUGGCAGAUUGCUUUAAGGCUUCUUGAGGACUCUUUGCUGAGUUGUUAAUGAGUUGUACACAUUAUAUAGGAGCUGUGAAGGAUAUAGAAGUCAAAGAUUUCAGCCCAAGAAGAAGAGUUCACAUUGGAGAAGUAAAAACUCAAUUUAACUGCAAGAAUACCCUUGAACUUGUAACUCCUAUAUAUAGGGCGUCCUUCCACAUUUUUAAGGGGGAAGAAAAUAUAGAUACACACACCAUCUACUGCCCUAAAUCAGAGACCACAGCUCCAUACUCUCCCCUCAUCAUAGUUCACGAAAUCCCCACUCCAAGGAGAAGCCGUAGCCACCAUCUUCCAUCAUCCUGUCGUGCUCUUGCUUUGAAGACGCCUCAAGCUUUCUUGGAGAAUAUUCAAAGGUAAUUUUGUGCGCUUAAUUCAGGCGUAUCACAUCCCAGUACGAUCAGUUUUUAGAUUUAAUCAACUUUUGACGAUUUUGUUUCUGGGUUGCUCUCGGCCUUGCCGUAUUCUUCGACGCCGGUGGCUUUUCGGGCAUUCCUGGGCUCCAUCUCUUGCUCAGCUGUACACCUAGCCCCCAAUCGAGAAUUCUGUCGAAUUGCUGGUGUGAAAAUCAUCAGUUCAUGACCAUUUCGGUCUCGGCAGUAGGGUUCUGGGGAUUGAGUUUGGCUCGAUUGACGUAGAUUUCUUAUUACAAAGGCUAGGUUCGGCUUGCUGUGUUCUUCGUUGGAAAGCAGACCUGCAAUUUGAGGUUCCUUUUUUAUCUAGUUGAUCACAAGGUCAGUUGGGUUCUGUUGAAGGUCUGAGAAUUUACACUUCUGGAAACUGGGCUGCCUUGUAGUAUGCAUGCUGUGAUGUUGUGUUUGAGAAGAAUAAAUUGGUAGUUAGUCAGAAGAAAUCGAAAGCUAUGUUGUGAGCUUGCUGUUUUUUCCAUGUUUGCUAAGAUUGUAGUUGUUAAAUGAUUUUGGUGAUGGAUGUUGUAGUAUGUUUCUUAUUCUGGUGAAAAUAACAAAGCAUAAAUAUGCAGGUAUGCAUUUAGUUGAA